UGGGGAAUAUUGGACAAUGGGCGAAAGCCUGAUCCAGCCAUGCCGCGUGUGUGAAGAAGGUCUUCGGAUUGUAAAGCACUUUAAGUUGGGAGGAAGGGCAUUAACCUAAUACGUUAGUGGUUUGACGUUACCGACAGAAUAAGCACCGGCUAACUCUGUGCCAGCAGCCGCGGUAAUACAGAGGGUGCAAGCGUUAAUCGGAAUUACUGGGCGUAAAGCGCGCGUAGGUGGUUUGUUAAGUUGGAUGUGAAAUCCCCGGGCUCAACCUGGGAACUGCAUUCAAAACUGACUGACUAGAGUAUGGUAGAGGGUGGUGGAAUUUCCUGUGUAGCGGUGAAAUGCGUAGAUAUAGGAAGGAACACCAGUGGCGAAGGCGACCACCUGGACUAAUACUGACACUGAGGUGCGAAAGCGUGGGGAGCAAACA
rnacentral:rRNA from 1 species